rnacentral:rRNA from 1 species
AAACGCUUGGAACCAGUCAUGCGGUUGGGAAAUCAGUGUUUUGCAAGGGGGAAUAGGGGAGGUGUGGACCGUAAGGCCGCUCUUUUCUAUAUCUCUUUUGUAAGGCAUGCACUUUUUCUUCUGCAGGUCAACAUCAGUUUCUUCUGCUGGACAAAACUCUUGAGAAGGUAGCAGCUUUGGCUGUGUUAUAGCUCUGGAGCGAUACAGUGGAGGGGACUGAGGUUUUCGCAGCAUGUGCUCUCGGGCAAGGCUGAUUGGGUGCUAUGGGAUCGUUCGGGGUACAAUACAUGUAUUUUGCCUCGUGUCUUUUCUAUACUCGCUCAACUCGGCUCUUCCAUGCUUAGGAUGUUGACUUAAUGGUUCUAAUCGA